rnacentral:tRNA from 1 species
GGUUGUGGCUCAGUAGUAGAGUGCUUACCUAGCAUGCACGAGGCACUGGGUUCAAUUCUUAGAACCA